GCGGUCCAGGCGCUGGCCGGUGCGGAGCUUGACGGGCUCCUUGUCGAUCUCGCCGUUCACCUCGGCGAAGCCGUC
rnacentral:tRNA from 3 species